AAUUUUUAAGAGUUCUGACCUGGAAGGGGUAAACCUCAGUGCAAUUUCCUUUCUAUUGCCUCAGUAUUACUGGAUUGAAGAAUUGUUGCUUCAUGUUAGGGGGUUCAUUUCAUUUUCCAUUACUCCCAACAUCAUACUUAAAGCACUGAGAAUUUCAAGUGGAGUAUUUUGAAGUAGACUUCAGUUUCUUUACAUCAUUUCUGUAUUCACUUUUUAAAAUUCUUUCCUAACCCUAUUGAGUGUUUUUUAACUAAAUUAAUAUGGCUCGAAUGAACUGCCCAGCUCCUGUGGAAGUCGCAUACAAGAACAUGAGAUUUCUUAUUACACACAAUCCAACCAAUGUGACUUUAAACAAAUUUAUAGAGGAACUUAAGAAAUAUGGAGUUACCACAAUAGUAAGAGUAUGUGAAGCAACUUACGACACUGCUCUUGUGGAAAAAGAAGCUAUCUAUGUUCUUGGUUGGCCUUUUGAUGAUGGUGCACCACCUUCCAACCAGAUUGUUGAUGACUGGUUAAGUCUUGUAAAAAUUAAGUUUCGUGAAGAACCUGGUUGUUGUAUUGCUGUUCAUUGUGUUUCAGGUCUUGGGAGAGCUCCAGUGCUUGUUGCCCUAGCAUUAAUUGAAGGUGGAAUGAAAUAUGAAGAUGCAGUACAGUUCAUAAGACAAAAGUGGCAUGGAGCUUUUAACAGCAAGCAACUUUUGUAUUUGGAGAAGUAUCGUCCUAAAAUGCGGCUGUGCUUCAAAGAGUCCAAUGGUCAUAGAAACAACCGUUGCAUUCAGUGAAACGGGUGCCUGAUG